rnacentral:lncRNA from 1 species
UUUCAACAGGAAUCCGAAGUCAACAAAAUCAUGAAACAAAACCGGAACCAAGCCCAACAUAUCUCCUCUCAAGUUUCAAAACCCUUCUACAUUACAAGCAAACAUUGCAGCAGCAACUAUAACGAGUGAUCCAACCACAUUAUUAUGCAUAAACGUAACUGCGCUAGAUAUAUCCACAGGAGCAACAGGACUCUCUACAUUAGCAGAAGGAACCGCCUUAGUAGGUUUUUCUGCAGGUGCCUGUACUGGUGCUGGAGCUGGAGCAUUGGAUCCAAAAAUGUCCUUAGGAAGUAGCACCUUCUCGAUCUUAUAAAUGGCUAGCUGGUUGUCCGUGUAAACCGUGCCAGAUAAACUUGUAUUGGUAAGUCCUGUGGUUAUGUUCACCGAGUUUGGAUAACUUGUGACAUUAAGUGGUAACCUACUACCUGUUCCAGCCCAUGUUCCAAGAGGAUUACUUACGGUCUGGAACUGGGAAGUCGAUAGAAAUGUUGGAACUACGUGGAACUUCACCAACUCAGACUUGUCUCCAUCACUUAGAGUAUUGAGAGUUCCUGAUUUGAGUUCCGAAAAUGCACUAUCUGUGGGUGCAAAGAUGGUUAUACCAGUGUUGGAAUCAUUGAGCGCGGAGAACAAGUGGUUUUCCUCUUGGGUGGAUCUCAAAAGGCGGAUAAAGAUCGUGAAAUGGCCAGCCUUCUCAAGGAUUUUGGUGACGUUGGUGAUGCCGUGUGGUGCAGCAGCCUGUGUUGGGGUUGCGACUGGAGGUUGUGCUACGACUACUGCUGGUGCCUGUGCUGGGGCUGCUGUUGGUGACUGGGCAAAGGUAUUGAUAUAACACAGGGAAAGAAGAAGCAUUGAAAAUGAGAAGAUUGAGUACUGUUGCUUCAUCUUUAAGUUUCCACGGUAUAAUGCUAGAGAUAAUUAAAAAAUGCUAACGCAAAUUGAGUUCGAUCUUAGUUGGAAGUGUUUGAUGUCUGAAGAAGAGACAGAGUGAGCUUUUAUAGAAGUGGACAGAGGAUCAAACUAGGUGCAAUGUACGAGUUUAGUUAUACAACUUGGUUGCUAGUACCUAUUUUGCUCUGAAAGGUGGAGGGUCAUCAAUGGAUGGGUUUUUUAACAAUGCUGCAGCAACUACUUGGCUUGGAAAAGAAGGAAAAAAUUUCUAAAAAGCAGAUUUCCAGUGGUGUGACAGUAAAUAAAGAUGUCCAUGAUUGUCGAAAUUAUAUUUUAGAAUCAUCACUGUCAGAACAUUUGAGGAUACUUCUUAACUUAAAAAAAAAAAUCUUCUGUCAUGGCAGAAGAUUUGGACAAGCAAUCUUAACGGAACCAUCUUUCUAUAUCUAAAACAGCUAUGGCUCCUUCAGCAUAAUAGAAUGAAUCUUUACUUCCCUGAAUCCAUGACAGACAUCGAUAGACUAACUUUCCAAAUUUACACAGAAAUCAAAUCUCACCUAGACCAUCACUUAAAACAACACAAUCAAGCAACACCUACCUUAUGUACUUGAUUUGAUGUUCGUGGCAAGCCUUCUUUCAAGGUUUAUGCAAUCUCCAGGGGAGAUGCAUUUUAGGGCAGCAAAUAUGUCCUAAUACAUGUUAGGGGAACACUGAUUUUAGAGUAUGGUUUGAAGCUACUGCAGAUGCAGAAUUGACAGCCUACACAGAUGGUGAUUGGCUCGUUCAUUUGAUGAUAUGUAGAGCACAACAUGUUAUGAGUUCAAUUUCGGUUCAGGUGCAUUUUAUUGGAUGACCAACAAGCAAAAACAAUGGCACAAACCACUGCAGAAGCAGAGUACAUAGCUGCAGCAGCUACAGUGUGAAGCAACGACAAUUGAAAUUGAUAACAACUCAGCCAUUGCAAUUGUGAAAAAUCAUGCAAGUCAUGUCAAAACCAAGCAUAUCUAAGUGAAGUUCCAUUUAGUUCAUGAUGUAUAAAAAGCUAAUGAGGCGACCUUAAUCUACUGUGAAGCAGAAAAUCAACUUGAAGAUAUAUUCGUUAAAACUCUUUCUCAAGCCAGAUUUGAAUUUGUCAGGAACAAGCUUGGAUUAUCAAGAAGUCGUCUCAAGGAGGAAUGUCAUACCAAUUUUGAUACUUUUUCUACAUACUUAGUGCAUGUUCUGUAGCAAUCUACUGAUAUUUUGUAAAAAGUAUUGCUGAAGUAAACCUGCUGAAAAUCAUGUGAGGGCAGGUCCCAGUAGUCAAGGGGUGGUGUUGUGAUCCUUGGAUGGCAUUAGGUGGAGUUUUUCUUGAAAGAAAGUUAUAGUAAUCAAAUACUUCUGCGCAUAUAUAAAUGAUAAUGUCAGAUGUGGUAGUACGAAAAAACAAACCGGUUUACAAAAUCAGCAAAGCACUAUCAGUCUUGCUAUCUAUAAUUUCUCUGCUGCAAACAUUCUUGUUGGUCACAAAACCAGCAGUUAUGAAAUUGGAGAGAACCUGAACCUGAUGUUGGCUUAAACUGGAGAAAGAUUCAUUAAGAUAAAACUUUAAAGGCUCCAUUGUAAGCGCAAUGUGCAGGUUAUUUCACAUACAGAUUGGCAAAACUUCAAGUAAAUUAGCUGUACCAUGCAGAUCCAACUUCGAGCACUCAUUUUGUAACUCAAAAUCCUUGAGAUUGCUGAGAGAACUUCCAAAAAUAAACACCACUCAAUGCAAGCAUCUGCGUAUAAUAACAAACUUUCAUGAAAAGCUGUCAUCAAGAACAAUAUAAGUAUUAUCCUACAUUUGCACAAGCAACCAUCUGCAUAUAAUAAGACAAUAGCUCACUAGUUAUACAAAAUUCACAAUGAAAUAUCUGUUUUCACCGUUGUCCUACAAAAUGAAUGAAUUAAUGUGUAGCACUAGCUUAUCUCUAGCUUCAAAACAUCAAUACUUCAAGAAGAAGGAACGAAAAGAAAAGGAUUAUCUUAAUCCUGCAGGGCAGAGCAGUAAGGUGCUUCGCAUGAGCAAGUAACCCAAAACACUAAUCUCCAAUGCUUAAUAUGCUCUUUUCUGUCCAAUAAUGAAUACUUGUUUCAAUCAAACCUGAUAAAUCCUUGAAAUACUACCUACCUAGUACCUACCUUCAAUUGAAUCAUCUCCAACAGCCCACGAUUUGGACAAGUAACCUCAACCUCAAGUGAUGCAUUCUUUUUAGUGAAGGAACUAAGCUUUAGCUCCUGAAACUUUACAGAACAGAACUUUACAUUCUUCAUUCCUUACAACCUUCAACAGAUAAUCUUUUCAAAUAUACAAACACAGAAAUCAAAUCACCCACAAAUUUGAAGAAAACAUCAUUCAAGAAACACUGACCUCAGGGACCUAAGCCCCAAAGAGGCAAUUGGUUUAUCUAACCAAAAGCUAGGAAAUAAGUAGACGACACCAGGGUUACAGUGAGGAAAAAAAAUGAAAUUUGACAGAUCAAGUAUAUAUAUUGCAACUUGAACAAGAAAUUAAAUGAAACCUCAAAAUUCCAUCUUAACCACAAGCUCAAAUCAUACAAACUGGAUUCAAAGUAAAAUCUGAAUUAUUCAAAUUUCAACAGGAAUCCAAAGUCAACAAAAUCAUGAAACAAAACCGGAACCAAGCCCAACAUAUCUCCUCUCAAGUUUCAAAACCCUUCUACAUGACAAGCAAACAUUGCAGCAGCAACUAUAACGAGUGAUCCAACAACCACAUUAUUAUGCAUAAACGUAACUGCGCUAGAUAUAUCCACAGGAGCAACAGGACUCUCUACAUUAGCAGCAGGAACCGCCUUAGUAGGUUUUUCUCGUGCAGGUGCCUGUACUGGUGCUGGAGCUGGAGCAUUGGAUCCAAAAAUGUCCUUAGGAAGUAGCACCUUCUCGAUCUUAUAAAUGGCUAGCUGGUUGUCCGUGUAAACCGUGCCAGAUAAACUUGUAUUGGUAAGUCCUGUGGUUAUGUUCACCGAGUUUGGAUAACUUGUGACAUUAAGUGGUAACCUACUACCUGUUCCAGCCCAUGUUCCAAGAGGAUUACUUACAGUCUGAAACUGGGAAGUGGAUAGGAACGUUGGAACUACGUGGAACUUCACCAACUCAGACUUGUCGCCAUCACUUAGAGUAUUGAGAGUUCCUGAUUUGAGUUCCGAAAAUGCACUAUCUGUGGGUGCAAAGAUGGUUAAACCAGUGUUGGAAUCAUUGAGCGCGGAGAACAAGUGGUUUUCCUCUUGGGUGGAUCUCAAAAGGCGGAUAAAGAUCGUGAAGUGGCCAGCCUUCUCAAGUAUUUUGGUGACGUUGGUGAUGCCGUGUGGUGCAGCAGCCUGUGUUGGGGUUGCGACUGGAGGUUGUGCUACGACUACUGCUGGUGCCUGUGCUGGGGCUGCUGUUGGUGACUGGGCAAAGGUAUUGAUAUAACAAAGGGAAAGAAGGAGCAUUGAAAAUGAGAAGAUUGAGUGCUGUUGCUUCAUCCUUAUUUUUUUGGGAUAAAAUGCUCGAAACAAUUCAAAUAUACUAAUGCAAAUUGAUCUCAAUCAUAAAGUGUUUGAUGUGUAAAGAUGAGAUAGAGUGAGGUUUUUAUAGUAGUGGACAGAGGAUCAAGUUAGGUGCAAUAUACAAUUUUAGUUAUACAACUAGAUUGCUAGUACCUUAUCUCACUCCAAAAGCUGUAGGGUCAUCAAUGGAGAGGGAAAUUUAACAAUGCUGCAGCAACUACUUUCCUUGGAAAAGCAGGCAAAAAAAAAAGGUUCUAAAAGGUAGAUUUCAAGUGGCUGUGACAACAAAUAAAGAUGUCCAUGAUUGUGAAUCAUCACUAGCAGAACAGCUGAGCAUGCUUCUUAACAUCAAAACAAAUCAUCUAUAAUGACAGAAGAUUUAGACAAGCGAUCUAAACUGACCUUUGUAUCGUAAAUAGCCAAGUCUUUGCUCUUUUAGCUUAAAAGAACGAAUAUUUACAUCCUUAAUCCUUGACAGACAUUGAUAGAUCACUAAUUUUCUAGAUUCGCACGCUCAGAAAUCAAAUCUCACACCAGACCAUCACUUAACACAACUUCAUGAAGAAACACUUACCUUAUGUACAUGAGCCCGUAGAGGUCAUGCUAUUGAUAAAAGUGAUUUUGCAGUAUGCAAACGCAAGUCUUGAAACUUUAAGAUAGCCAUUUCGAAGUAAAAGGAAUUGUGUUCUUUUACAUGAUGUUGAAUGGCAUAAUAGUCUUUUAUUCAUGGAGAGGAUGAAAGAAAAGGCAAGGAGCAGAAAAUGUCUCAGUUGGUUACUGUCAUCCCCAGUGUUUUAUUUAUAGAAGGAAACAAACAUUACAGAAAAUGAAACACUAAAGAAACGUACUAGCUAUGUUCUCCUUUAUCAAAGGAGUUAUAUAACAAGCUAGUCUAAUCCUAGAUAAGCUUAAACAAAUGAAUUGAAAGAAACAUCCUAAUCUAGAUAAUGCUAUCAGCUAACAGAUAAAUAGCUAUCAGCUAACAAAUAGAUAACAAUGCAGUAGAUUACUACAAAGUAAUCCUGUUCCAGCUUUGGUACCAAACUUCAACACUCCUCCUUGGUUCCAAAGCUACACAUUCCAAUUCUUCCUCUCAGAUCUUCAAACAUGUUUCCUGUUUCUAGUUCAACUGCUGCUUUGAAUUUAACAAACUCAGCAAACACAUAAGAUUUUGAUUUGAGGCAAGGGAUUCUGUACUAGAGCUCAAGCCUUUUAUUCAUGUUAAACGUACUAGGAUGAAUGGAUCAUGCUUCCACCAAAACCAUGAUUUUCCUCCAUAAUGCAGCAAAUCAUAGAAGGGUUUUUCUGGCAGUCGUCUGUCACAUUCAGUUUAUGAAAAUUGUGAUAUAACCUCGACAAUUUUACUGAUUGGAAUCCACUUCCUCAAGCUUAAAGUAACAAUCCUAUGCUCUCUAACACUCUCUUUUCUCUAAUUAUCAACACCAGCAGUUUUGAAACAGGAGAAAAGAACUUAACCUGAUGUGGGAUUGCUUAAACUAGAGAAAAAUUCAUUCUGAGGAAACUUAAAAGGUUCCUGUGUGAGAGCAAUACAGCAGAUUUGUUCACAUUAAGUUUAGUAGAAGUUCAAGAGAUAACCUAGUAAAGGUAGUUCUGUUUCAGAAGCCUGAUUUCUUGAUAAUUAGCAUUUUCUACUCUUUUGCAUUAUGUUCAGCCUCGCAUUCAAAUGUUGUCAGCAGAACCAUAUAUAAUCUUACAGAUUAAAGAGAACAACAUUUUGAUUCCAACCACUUCAAAAACUUGUAAUGAAAUAUUUGCUUUCACCAUUGUCCUGCAACCUCCUUUUCCUUUCUCUCUACCCUCCUUAAUGCAUGCUUUGUCUUCCCUGAUCGUCAAAUAAUCAUCUCAAUCCAAUAACUUAAGUUAUUAGAUGAGAUUCCAAGAUAUGAUUUAUAUCAUUCUCUAACACACACCCCUCAAGUAAAAGUCAAUUAAGCUUGAAACUUGCACAUGCCCACACUAUCUUGUGCUUAAUUUUUAUCAAAUAAAUAGGGAUGGUGAGAUUCAAACUCAUGACUGUUUGGUCAUUAAAGUUCUGAUACCAUGUCAAAGAAUCAUCUCAUCUCAAUAGCUUAAGAUGUUAGGUAAGGUUCUAAGAUAUGAUUUAUAUUAUUCUCUAACACACCUCUUCAAGUGAAAGCCCUUUAGGCUUAAAACUUGUACAGGUCCGCACUACCUUGUACUUAAUUUUUAUCAAAUAAAUAGGGAUGGUGAGAUUUCAAGAUAUAAUUUAUAUAUUAUUCUCUAACAUAUCACUUCAAGUGAAAGGCCUUUGAACUUGAAACUUGCAUAGAUCCAUACUACCUUGUGCUUAAUUUUUAUCAAAUAAAUAGGGAUGGUGGGAUUCGAACUCAUGAUCGUUUGGUCAUCAAGACUCUGAUAUCAUGUCAAAGAACCAACUCAACUUAAUAACUUAAAUUGUUAAGUGAGGUUCUAAAAUUUUGAUUUAUAUUAUUCUCUAAUAAUAUCGUGAUAGUUUGCCCCGUGCUCACCCUUAUUAGCCGACAUCCCCAUAUCUCUGCAUCAGAAAAAUCUUCUUUCUGAGGGAAGUAAUCCGAUAAACCUUCCUCCAGAUCCAGUAAGUUAAUGUUCAAUAAAAAAACAUAGCAACAACUAGCAAGCAAAAACUACAACCUCUUAAUAUGACAUCUCAGCCGAAAAAUCUCCGAAACCUCCAAAAAUCUCACUCCAUUUACUCCUCCGAUAACUAGACUUCCAAGAAAUAGAACCACCAACACAACCACUAUUAUCUAAGAAACAGUUAGGGCAUGAUUCGAUGACACCAGGGUGAUCAUAAAAAAACAACAAAUGAAGUUUGACUAAUCAAGUACAUGUUUAGCAAUUUGAUCAAGAAAUUAAAUAAAACCUCGAAACCAUAACCUAAAAUCAUACAAACUGGAUUCAAAGUAAAAUCAGAAUUAUUCAACACACACCAAGCUUUCAAUCCAACUCAGAAAAUUUAGACGCUGCCGGACCCAACCCAGCUUAUCUCAUCUCGAGAUUCAAACCCUUUUACAUUAUAAAGCAAAGAUUGCAGCAGCAACUGCACCAACUGAUCCAACCACGUUAUUACGCGUGAACAUGACUGCGCCAGAUAUAUCCACUGGAGCAACAGGACUCUCAACAUUAGCUGCAGGAACUGCCUUAGUAGGCUUUUCUGGUGCGGGUGCUACUGGUGCUGGAGCUGGGGCCUUAGAAGCAAAAAUGUCCUUAGGAAGUAGCACCUUCUCAAUCUUAUAAAUGGCUAGCUGGUUGUCCGUGUAUACCGUGCCAGAUAAACUUGUAUUGGUAAGUCCUGUGGUUAUGUUCACCGAGUUUGGAUAACUUGUUACGUUAAGUGGUAACCUACUACCUGUUCCAGCCCAUGUUCCAAGAGGAUUACUUACAGUCUGAAACUGGGAAG